rnacentral:rRNA from 1 species
GCCCAAAGCCGGUGGGGUAACCUUCGGGAGCCAGCCGUCUAAGGUAAAGUCGAUGAUUGGGGUGAAGUCGUAACAAGGUAGCCGUAUCGGAAGGUGCGGCUGGAUCACCUCCUUUCUAAGGA